rnacentral:lncRNA from 10 species
CUGAGUAGCUGGGACUACAGGCGCCCGCCACCUCGCCUGGCUAAUUUUUUAAAUUAGAGACGGGAUUUCACCUUGUUAGCCAGGAUGGUCUCGAUCUCCUGACCUCGUGAUCAGCCCGCCUCGGCCUCCCAAAGGUGCUGGGAUUACAGGCGUGAGCCACUGUGCCCGGCAGAGGUGGGGACUUUAAAUGCCUGCGGGCUUUCUCUGGCAUUCUCCCAGGGAGGAGCCUGUCUACUUCUCCUGCACUCUCACCGAGGGACCAGCUGGACUUGCCUCCCAGAAGACGUCUGUCUGAGCGCAGGAGUGGCAGUUGUGGGGGCGCUGGAAGGACCAAACACCCUGUGCUCUGGCUUACAAAUGGCGACGAGUCCAUCAACCUCCUCUGGGUUAGACUCCUAAUUCGCAGCCCCCACCCACUGCUGAGCUCAGGGCUCUGGACACUGACUGCCUGAUUCAGCCAACAGGAUACAUGGUGCUGGAGCCUGUGCCGAUGAGCCCGUUAGGGGAAAUGGAGGCUCCCAGGCACGAUGAGCUGUCCCAGGCCAUCUCACCAAGACGGGGCCCGAAUGCUCCCGUGAAGCGUGAAGCGCAGUGGGGAAGGCAGCGGGACGCUACACUGACUUCUUCCCUUGCAAAGGCGCAGGAUGAAUCUGCUUGGAGCAAGGCGGGCAGAAGAGGUCUUCCUAAGAAGUCUUCCGCGGGGAGCGGUGGGCCUCUGGGAUGCCCAAGGUCUCUGCCAUCACCCUCUGGUCUCUACGCUUUCAGAGGAACUGGCAGGUCAGGGAUUGCAAAAGAAACAUCCCCCAGCCGAUCAAUAAAUAAUAAUGUUGGAGAAUUUAAAAUAAAAAUCUGGAUUAUUAAAGUUACAAAUCUUUGGUCUUUAUACCUUUAAUAAAACAUGCGUCUAUUAAUAAUGAAUACUGGUUCUGGCCUGCUUAGGCUGAAAGGGAGAAAAAAAUGACCAGUCAAAAGAUGCUCAUAUUUUUUCUCCUUACCCAGUUUGGCUGCCAAGAUGCUGCAUCCCUGACAAAUGGC